rnacentral:piRNA from 1 species
UGUAUCCACGGACCCACCUACUCCCACAGA